rnacentral:rRNA from 1 species
GACGAACGCUGGCGGCGCGCUUAACACAUGCAAGUCGAACGGAAAGGCCUGCUUUCCCUUGUGGAUUGCGGGUACUCGAGUGGCGAACGGGUGAGUAACACGUGAGUGAUCUGCCCCCAACUUGGGUAUAAGCCUGGGAAACUGGGUCUAAUUCCCGAUAGGACUGCAGGGUGGUGCCUGUGGUGGAAAACGAUUUUCUAGUGGUUGGGGAUGAGCUCGCGGCCUAUCAGCUUGUUGGUGGGGUAAUGGCCUACCAAGGCGGCGACGGGUAGCCGGCCUGAGAGGGUGGACGGCCACAUUGGGACUGAGAUACGGCCCAGACUCCUACGGGAGGCAGCAGUGGGGAAUAUGGCACAAUGGGCGGAAGCCUGAUGCAGCGACGCCGCGUGGGGGAUGACGGCCUUCGGGUUGUAAACUCCUUUCGACCGCGAGGAAGCCACCUGGUUGGAAGGGUGGUGACGGUAGUGGUAGAAGAAGCACCGGCUAACUACGUG